AUUGUUGGAGCAGGACCGGAGCUACUAUACUGCUGUCCAGAUGAGUGAGAGUGCCUUCAUGGAUAAGUUCAUAUGCCCCUACAAGGAAGCUGCACCAAGCCUCGCCCUAGAUUAUGCUGCUGCUUGCAGAGGAGAGGGGAAAACUGGAAGCCAUUUUGAACCAAAGACGAUUCAGAAAUAAGGCUGUCUGGGAGAUUAACCCACUUAAACUGGACUUCACAAAAGCACUUGUUAUCGGAAAGUUUUGUAUUGGAUUAUCUUAAAGUUGGCCAAACCUGCUACCUACAACAAGGCUCUUUCGGUAAAAUUCUGAAAGCAAAUUGGCGAGGAACACCUAUUGUUGUCAAACGCAUUCUUCCAUUCUUAUCUGAUGACAGGCUGGUGAUG